AACGAACGCUGGCGGCAUGCCUAACACAUGCAAGUCGAACGAGACCUUCGGGUCUAGUGGCGCACGGGUGCGUAACGCGUGGGAACCUGCCCUUAGGUUCGGAAUAACUCCCCGAAAGGGGUGCUAAUACCGGAUAAUGUCUUCGGACCAAGGAUUUAUCGCCUUUGGAUGGGCCCCCGUUGGAUUAGCUAGUUGGUAGGGUAAAAGCCUACCAAGGCGACGAUCCAUAGCUGGUCUGAGAGGAUGAUCAGCCACACUGGGACUGAGACACGGCCCAGACUCCUACGGGAGGCAGCAGUGGGGAAUAUUGGACAGUGGGCGAAAGCCUGAUCCAGCAAUGCCGGGUGAGUGAUGAAGGCCUUAGGGUUGUAAAGCUCUUUUACCCGGGAUGAUAAUGACAGUACCGGGAGAAUAAGCUCCGGCUAACUCCGUG
rnacentral:rRNA from 1 species